UACGGAGGGGGCGAGCGUUAUUCGGAAUUAUUGGGCGUAAAGGGCGCGUAGGCGGCCUUGCAAGUCAAAGGUGAAAUCCCUCGGCUCAACUGAGAAACUGCCUUUGAAACUGUAAGGCUUGAGGCCGGGAGGGGGUAGCGGAAUUCCCAGUGUAGCGGUGAAAUGCGUAGAUAUUGGGAGGAACACCAGUGGCGAAGGCGGCUACCUGGACCGGUUCUGACGCUGAUGCGCGAAAGCGUGGGUAGCAAACAGG
rnacentral:rRNA from 1 species